CUUCCGGGGGCGCCCGUUGGAGCCACAGCCGCGGCUCCUCUCAGGCCGCGUCCUCCAGCGGCGCGGUCGCGGGCGGGGACCAAUCUUGUCCCUGUCGAUCUCCUCCGCGCCUGUGCGCCCGUCCGGCGCUACUCUUUUCCUCUGUCAUGAGGCCACCGAGGUCCCGUGCCAGCCUCGGUGUCCCUGCCCUUGUCCCAGGCUCUCCUGUGCUCUGGGAGGCUGCGCAGUCCCAGUCCCGGAGGGGACGGAAUGACCUUCUGGCCCUCCGAGUCCCUGGAGUUGUCACCCGAAGACAGCGCUGGCUCCUCUCCAUCCCUGCGAGCACAGCGAGCGCAGACUGCAGCCAGGGGACUUGAGGAAAAAGCCGGGCUGGCGAGGUGACUGGCGAGAUGAGGCGCCUAGGAGGCCGUCACUGCUGAGCCUGGGAAUCCUCGCAACAGAGGGCCAGUGUCGGAGCCAGGAAGAGGGGGCAGUUCCACAGCAGAAGCCAGAGCACGGGAGAGAGCCGAGGAGGCCAGCGGCCAGCGCCGAAUGUGCUCUGAGUGCCGUCCGGCAGCACGGGUUUCCCCCCCGCCCUGUCCCAGCCUCUUCUCCCUAAGACGCCGAGUCAUUCUGCGUGUGCCUGUCCUCAGGCCUAGGCUCCAGCAGGCCCGGCUCCGGCAGGCCCCAUCUGUUGGCCUUGCAUUUUGGGGUGACACAGGGUAGGAGGGAGCGAGGUACGUGAUUCAGCUAGGCUCCCCACGUUCUGACUGGACAGUGUGUGCAGGUGAAGUGGCUCAAGGCAAUCCUGGGCUGGAUGGUGGAACACAAGUUGUAGCCCAGCAUCCGGGUCUAUUUGCUCACCACUUUGGACGUGGCCCUGAAAAAUCUCUCUUUUUUCCCUCCUGAAAAUCCUUUUUGUAACAGAGGGAGUUAGGAAGAGUACUAGUAGAACACCACCCCGUGGGACAGUGUUCUGACUUCUCCAACACCGGCCAAAGGCAGAUGCGGGUCUAGAAAAGAGCGCGGAGAGAUGUCUGGGCUUCUGGUGCACUCAGGAAUAAGUGCCACAGGGAGGCAGAGAGCCAGAGUGUGCUGUGGGGAGAGGAAGGGGCCCGUUUCCAUGGCAACACUAGAAAUGAGGCUUUGGACUAGCACCGGUCUCAGCCUAGGGGUCAAACUCAGUCAACCACAGGACCUGGUUUCCUCAACUCUAACAAAGAGGAUCCUUGAAUUGUGUGAGGGGUCUGUGACGAAGAGGCUCCAGGAGGCCAGAAGAGGUGCAAGGGCAAACGCGAGUACAGGCUCUCUCCUCGAGCGUGCGCCGGAGUGAGCGCACGGCAGAAGAGAGGAUGCGUCUCACAUGGUGUGGAAGGUGUCAUGGCCUUGGCCAUGGUUAAACCGUGUCUCUACCACUUCCAACUUAUAUAGUAAUGCAUUAGCCAGUAGGUAAAUUAAGCCAGCACACACAUUACAUUGUGGGAAUGACCUAAUUGUUUUUCUGAAAACAAUUUUAUCAUUGG
rnacentral:lncRNA from 1 species